CCUGGCCCUGGCGCCCGAGGCGGCGUCGUCGCUGCUGCUGCCGGCGACCGUCGGCCACCAGCGGGCGUUUGAACUGUUCGCCCUGGGC
rnacentral:tRNA from 1 species